UAAGGGAUAUUGCGCAAUGGGCGAAAGCCUGACGCAGCAACGCCGCGUGGAGGAUGACGGCCUUCGGGUCGUAAACUCCUUUUGACGCUGACGAGCAAGGACGGUAGGCGUCGAACAAGUCACGGCUAACUACGUGCCAGCAGCCGCGGUAAAACGUAGGUGGCGAGCGUUAUCCGGAUUGACUGGGCGUAAAGGGUGUGCAGGCGGGGUCUCAAGUGGUGUGUGAAAUCGCCCGGCUCAACCGGGUGAGGUCAGGCCAGACUGAGGCUCUGGAGUGCGGGAGAGGGGCGUGGAAUUCCGGGUGUAGUGGUGAAAUGCGUAGAGAUCCGGAGGAACCCCAGAGGCGAAGGCGGCGCCCUGGCCCGACACUGACGCUGAGACACGACAGCAUGGGGAGCGAACGGGAUUAGAAACCCCGGUAGUCCAUGCCGUAAACGAUGCCAACUAGGCGCUGGGGGUCUCAACCCCCUCGGUGCCGCAGCUAACGCGCUAAGUUGGCCGCCUGGGGAGUACGGCCGCAAGGCUAA
rnacentral:rRNA from 1 species